GUAGGUGGCAAGCGUUGUCCGGAAUUAUUGGGCGUAAAGCGCGCGCAGGCGGUCCUUUAAGUCUGAUGUGAAAGCCCACGGCUCAACCGUGGAGGGUCAUUGGAAACUGGGGGACUUGAGUACAGAAGAGGAAAGCGGAAUUCCAAGUGUAGCGGUGAAAUGCGUAGAGAUUUGGAGGAACACCAGUGGCGAAGGCGGCUUUCUGGUCUGUAACUGACGCUGAGGCGCGAAAGCGUGGGGAGCAAACAGGGGAUUAGAUACCCUGGUAGUCCACGCCGUAAACGAUGAGUGCUAAGUGUUAGGGGGUUUCCCGCCCCUUAGUGCUGCAGCUAACGCAUUAAGCACUCCGCCUGGGGAGUACGGCCGCAAGGCUG
rnacentral:rRNA from 1 species